rnacentral:rRNA from 1 species
GACGAACGCUGGCGGCGUGCCUAAUACAUGCAAGUCGAGCGAAGCGGCGGAUGGGUGAGUAACGCGUGGGUAACCUGCCCUAAAGCUUGGGAUACUAUUUGGAAACAGAUGCUAAUACCGGAUACUAAAGGAUGGACAUGCGAGGCAUUAGCUAGUUGGUAAGGUAACGGCUUACCAAGGCGAUGAUGCAUAGCCGAGUUGAGAGACGGAUCGGCCACAUUGGGACUGAGACACGGCCCAGACUCCUACGGGAGGCAGCAGUGGGGAAUCUUCCACAAUGGGCGAAAGUCUGAUGGAGCAACGCCGCGUGAGUGAAGAAGGUUUUCGGGUCGUAAAGCUCUGUUGUUGGGGAAGCGGUAAUCAACCAGAAAGUAACGGCUAACUACGUGCCAGCAGCCGCGGUAAUAC